GACGAACGCUGGCGGCGUGCUUAACACAUGCAAGUCGAACGGAAAGGCCUAGCUUGCUGGGUACUCGAGUGGCGAACGGGUGAGUAACACGUGGGUGAUCUGCCCCUGACUUUGGGAUAAGCCUGGGAAACUGGGUCUAAUACCGGAUAUUCAUUUUUCCUCGCAUGGGGAUUUGUGGAAAGCUUUUGCGGUUGGGGAUGGGCCCGCGGCCUAUCAGCUUGUUGGUGGGGUAAUGGCCUACCAAGGCGACGACGGGUAGCCGACCUGAGAGGGUGAUCGGCCACACUGGGACUGAGACACGGCCCAGACUCCUACGGGAGGCAGCAGUGGGGAAUAUUGCACAAUGGGCGCAAGCCUGAUGCAGCGACGCCGCGUGAGGGAUGACGGCCUUCGGGUUGUAAACCUCUUUCAGCUCCGACGAAGCGCAAGUGACGGUAGGAGCAGAAGAAGCACCGGCCAACUUCGUG
rnacentral:rRNA from 1 species